rnacentral:rRNA from 1 species
GAUCCUGGCUCAGGAUGAACGCUAGCUACAGGCUUAACACAUGCAAGUCGAGGGGCAUCAGUUUGGUUUGCUUGCAAACCAAAGCUGGCGACCGGCGCACGGGUGAGUAACACGUAUCCAACCUGCCUCAUACGUCGGGGAUAGCCUUUCGAAAGAAAGAUUAAUAUCCGAUAGCAUAUAUUUCCCGCAUGGGUUUUAUAUUAAAGAAAUUCGGUAUGAGAGUGGGGAUGCGUUCCAUUAGUUUG